GCCAGAGUGAUUUAGUGGUUUAAGCACUGGACUAGAACUCUGGAGACCAGGGUUCAAAUCCCAGCUUGGCCA
rnacentral:tRNA from 1 species